CCCUUAGAUGUUCUGGGCCGCACGCGCGCUACACUGAUGCAUUCAACGAGCCUAUCCUUGACCGACAGGUCCGGGUAAUUUUUGAAUCUGCAUCGUGACGGGGAUAGAUUAUUGCAAUUAUUAAUCUUCAACGAGGAAUGCCUAGUAGGCGCAAGUCAUCAACUUGCGUCGAUUACGUCCCUGCCCUUUGUACACACCGCCCGUCGCUCCUACCGAUUGGGUGUGCUGGUGAAAUGUUCGGAUCGGCCGUUUGUCGCGGUUUCCGCGGCUCGUGGCUGAGAAGUUCAUUAAACCCUCCCACCUAGAGGAAGGAGAAGUCGUAACA
rnacentral:rRNA from 1 species